GACGAACGCUGGCGGCGUGCUUAACACAUGCAAGUCGAGCGGGAAACUUCGGUUUCCAGCGGCGGACGGGUGAGUAACACGUGGGCAACCUGCCUCACAAUGAGGGAUAGCCCUCCGAAAGGAGGAUUAAUACCUCAUAACACAAGAGAAACGCAUGUUUCUCUUGCCAAAGAAUUUCGUUGUGAGAUGGGCCCGCGGCGCAUUAGCUUGUUGGUGAGGUAACGGCUCACCAAGGCUUCGAUGCGUAGCCGACCUGAGAGGGUGAUCGGCCACAUUGGAACUGAGACACGGUCCAGACUCCUACGGGAGGCAGCAGUGGGGAAUAUUGCACAAUGGAGGAAACUCUGAUGCAGCAACGCCGCGUGAGUGAUGAAGGUCUUCGGAUUGUAAAGCUCUGUCUUCUGGGACGAUAAUGACGGUACCAGAGGAGGAAGCCACGGCUAACUACGUGCCAGCAGCCGCGGUAA
rnacentral:rRNA from 1 species